rnacentral:rRNA from 1 species
UACAGAGGUCCCAAGCGUUGUUCGGAUUCAUUGGGCGUAAAGGGUGAUAGGCGGCGCGGUAAGUCGGGUGUGAAAUCUCGGGGCUUAACUCCGAAACUGCAUUCGAUACUGCGGUGCUUGAGGACUGGAGAGGAGACUGGAAUUUACGGUGUAGCGGUGAAAUGCGUAGAUAUCGUAAGGAAGACCAGUGGCGAAGGCGGAUCUCUGGGCCUUACCUGACGCUCAGGUGCGAAAGCUAGGGGAGCGAACAGG